CUUGAUGAGGAGCAGGUGAGGAGCAGCCAGAACAGAGCAAGAAGUUGAUGAUCUUGGAGAUAAAAGAGGCUUUAUGUUUUGAGAGCGCACAGGCAAAGGCACCUCAACUGAGGACCAACUCUUCUUUGGUUCAGACUAAGGAAAGGGUACGUGGUUAGCGUGCGAGAAUGCAUGUCCUGCAGAUUCUCUGUCUACCGGUCAUCGUUGCCUUGUGCCACGCUUCUCCGGACACCACCCUGAAUGACCAGUGGGAACUGUGGAAAAGUCAACAUGAAAAAAUGUACACAGAGCAGGUGAGAAGUGGACAAUAUGACAUAGAG